CGGAGUCAACCACAUGGCUAAGGCCAUUCAAUUCUGCAUGGCCAAGGCUAUCGAUUUAAAAUGGAUAAGACCAUCGCCGCAAACAGUCAACCCAACAUCGACCACGACAAAAUGAUAGACUCGACAACAAUCGAAGUCAACUAGCACAGCUAAGUCUAUUUAAUCCAAACAUGGCUAAGGCCAUCACUAUUAACAAUUGACAUAAUAUAGACCAUAGAAAAACAAAGGACUUCACGAAGGGCGAGUUAAGAUAAAAACUACGAGUUACAAACACAACAGAAGUUCCAAGGAACGAAGAACGAAUAACAACAG
rnacentral:lncRNA from 1 species